CCUACGGGUGGCAGCAGUGAGGAAUAUUGGUCAAUGGGCGCGAGCCUGAACCAGCCAAGUAGCGUGAAGGAUGACUGCCCUACGGGUUGUAAACUUCUUUUGUAAAGGAAUAAAGUGAGGCACGUGUGCCUGUUUUUAGUGACUCUAUGAAUAAGGAUCGGCUAACUCCCGUCCAGCAGCCGCGGUAAUACGGAGGGGUCGAGGGUUAUCCGGAUUUUUGUGGGUUAAAGGGAGAGUUGAUGGGUUGUUAAGUCAGUUGUGAACGUCUGGGGCUCAAACGUAAAAUUGCAAUUGAUACUGGCAGCCUUGAGUUCAGUUGAGGUAGGCGGAAUUCGUGGUGUAGCGGUGAAAUGCUUAGAUAUCACGAAGAACUCCGAUUGCGAAGGCAGCUUACUAAACUGCCACUGACAUUGAUGCUCGAAAGCGUGGGUAUCAAACAGGAUUAGAUACCCUUGUAGUC
rnacentral:rRNA from 1 species